rnacentral:rRNA from 1 species
AUUGAACGCUGGCGGCAUGCUUUACACAUGCAAGUCGAACGGCAGCGCGGGCUUCGGCCUGGCGGCGAGUGGCGAACGGGUGAGUAAUGCAUCUGAACGUGCCCAGUAGUGGGGGAUAGCCUGGCGAAAGCCGGAUUAAUACCGCAUACGACCUGAGGGUGAAAGCGGGGGACCGAAAGGCCUCGCGCUAUUUGAGUGGCCUAUGUCGGAUUAGCUAGUUGGUGGGGUAAAGGCUUACCAAGGCGACGAUCCGUAGCUGGUCUGAGAGGACGACCAGCCACACUGGAACUGAGACACGGCCCAGACUCCGACGGGAGGCAGCAGUGGGGAAUUUUGGACAAUGGGGGAAACCCUGAUCCAGCCAUGCCGCGUGCGGGAAGAAGGCCUUCGGGUUGUAAAGCGCUUUUGUUCGGGAGGAAGUCCUCUGGGCUAAUACCCCGGGGGGAUGACGGUACCGGAAGAAUAAGCACCGGCUAACUACGUG